GUAAGUUGUAUGUCAUUCAUUUUUAUUUGUUGUGCUAAUUUUCGAUUGUUGUUUUUUCCGGAUGACUUGACCUUGAUUUUGGUGGCUUAAAAGCUGAAGCUUGCACGCACCCAUUGCUGUGAAUUAUUCUGGAAUGGGUAGCUGGACAACUGAGCUCUUAGAAUGAUGACUACGAUGGCGAUGACGACGUGCGUCGGCGGCGGCGUUGGCGAUGACGAUGAUGAUGAAGAUGAAGGUGAUGAGGAUGAUGGUUAUGAUGGUGAUGAUUAU